rnacentral:rRNA from 1 species
AAAAGCUACACGUUGAAUGCGCCAGUUCCCUUGGAUCACUGAAGUUAAGCAACGUGGGGCAUGGUUAGUAUCAGGAUGGGUGACCUUAUACCAUAUGGACAAUCGCACUGGCUUGUC